CCCCGCCGUCCGGGGUGCGGGCCGCCGUUCGCACUGGUGGUGUGGGUUGCCGUUCGCACCGGCGGUACGGGCCGCCGUUCGUCGGCGCCGGGCGAGGC
rnacentral:tRNA from 1 species